CGGGUACUCGAGUGGCGAACGGGUGAGUAACACGUGGGUGAUCUGCCUUGCACUUCGGGAUAAGCUUGGGAAACUGGGUCUAAUACCGGAUAGGACAGCUGUUUAGUGUCAGUUGUGGAAAGUUUUUUCGGUGCAAGAUGAGCUCGCGGGCCUAUCAGCUUGUUGGUGGGGUAAUGGCCUACCAAGGCGUCGACGGGUAGCCGGCCUGAGAGGGUGUACGGCCACAUUGGGACUGAGAUACGGCCCAGACUCCUACGGGAGGCAGCAGUGGGGAAUAUUGCACAAUGGGCGGAAGCCUGAUGCAGCGACGCCGCGUGGGGGAUGAAGGCCUUCGGGUUGUAAACUCCUUUCGACAGGGACGAAGCGUAAGUGACGGUACCUGUAUAAGAAGCACCGGCUAACUACGUGCCAGCAGCCGCGGUAAUACGUAGGGUGCGAGCGUUGUCCGGAAUUACUGGGCGUAAAGAGCUCGUAGGUGGUUUGUCGCGUCGUCUGUGAAAUUCCGGGGCUUAACUCCGGGCGUGCAGGCGAUACGGGCUGACUUGAGUGCUGUAGGGGAGACUGGAAUUCCUGGUGUAGCGGUGAAAUGCGCAGAUAUCAGGAGGAACACCGAUGGCGAAGGCAGGUCUCUGGGCAGUAACUGACGCUGAGGAGCGAAAGCAUGGGUAGCGAACAGGAUUAGAUACCCUGGUAGUCCAUGCCGUAAACGGUGGGCGCUAGGUGUAGGGGGCUUCCACGUCUUCUGUGCCGUAGCUAACGCAUUAAGCGCCCCGCCUGGGGAGU
rnacentral:rRNA from 1 species